UACGUAUGUUUGCCAAACACCAUUAAACCUCAGAAGAAGAAGUUUGGUUUCACCGUGUUCUCUGUUGUUUUGUCGUGAUGCUAGUUUAAUACAAUCUGUUAGAAAUGUAGUUUCUGUAAAUGGAAAAAUACAGUUUUUGAAUCAGGUCAGCCUGUAAUAUUCUGAUCCUCAUAGUCGUGACUAAGUUUGAAGCAAGCAGGAAUAUCUGCAGAAGUAUCAUCUGAACUGAAAUCUGCUGCUGUGAAGAUGGUGUUUGUUAAAGAAGAGAACAUGAGUGAACCAGAAACCUGCAGAAUAAAACAAGAGGAACCAGAAACCUGGAGAAUAAAACACGAGGAGUCAGAAACCUGCAGAAUAAAACAAGAGGAACCAGAAACCCGGAGAAUAAAACACGAGGAACCAGAAACCCGGAGAAUAAAACACGAGGAACCAGAAACCCGGAGAAUAAAACACGAGGAACCAGAAACCUGGAUAAUAAAACACGAGGAACCAGAAACCUUGCUAAUAAAACACGAGAAACCAGAAACCUGGAUAAUAAAACACGAGGAACCAGAAACCCGGAGAAUAAAACACGAGCAAAAAGGAGGCCGGAUGAAAAUAAAAGAAGAAAAACAAGAUCUGAAUGAGGUGGAGGAGAAACAUCAGUGCCAGAAAGCUCAUAAUGUCACUGCUGGAGAAAAAUCAGUGAGAUGCAGCAUAAAAAAAACAAAAGUCAAAAAGCCUUUUAGAUGCUCUCAGUGUGGGAAGUUGUUCACACGUAAAGCAAGCCUUAAGAAGCACAUGUUAAUUCAUGCUGGGAUAAAGCCUUUCAGCUGA
ensembl:lncRNA